rnacentral:rRNA from 1 species
GACAGAGGGUGCAAACGUUGUUCGGAAUUACUGGGCGUAAAGCGCGUGUAGGCGGCAGGGCAUGUCGGAUGUGAAAUCCCGUGGCUCAACCACGGAAGUGCUCCCGAAACUGCCCAGCUUGAGUCUCGGAGAGGAAGGCGGAAUGCUUAGUGUAGAGGUGAAAUUCGUAGAUAUCAAGCGGAACACCGGUGGCGAAGGCGGCCUUCUGGACGAUGACUGACGCUGAGACGCGAAAGCGUGGGGAGCAAACAGG